rnacentral:lncRNA from 1 species
AAGAAUGAUAUCAUUUAAUUUUUUGAAUUGUUGAAACCUAAUGAUAAAUUUCGUUUAAAAUUUUAACGGCUGAACGACGAUCCAAGGAAAGUAUAUUGACAACUAUAAAAAAUUAGGUACGUGGUACAAAAUCAAAAAAUUAGUGGAAGGCUUUUACUGGAAUAGGCCCCGAGGUUUUUUCCUUUCACACUGAAAGGUCUUCCCAUCAACAAAUAUUUGUGUUCAAUUGUUAAAUUUCUUUCAGUGUGUGUGAGUUAUUGGAGCCGAGUAUUGUUAUUAUUAUUGCCAUUUUAAUUCUGCACACUGAGGGGUUGAAAUAUUUUUUCCUCUGUUUGUUUGUGUUACAGGUUCAAUCUCCUACAAAACUAAACAUAUAUACAUGUUGAAGUACCUUCAAAAUGGUGAACGGAGCGGCUGACUUUCUUGGCACAGCCUUCACAAUGCAAGUCGAG